GGCCAGCAUCUUAAAAUGGGCUGAAUUGUCCUUCACCUUUCUGGCUUACUUUUUUAAAACUAAUUUCUCUUUUUUUGAAUCAUUUUGUUUCACCUUCUGUUUUUAAAAACUCACCAGAAUCGCCUACAACCACUGAUGCUUUCGUUUCUCUUCUAUCCUUCUCUCCCUACUUUUUUCUAUUCCAAUCCACCUUCCUUUUUCUCUUGACACUUUCUUUUCAGGAAGGAAAAGGGGGGGAAACCACAAAAACGGUACCGAUGAGAAGGAUGGAACUGACAUAUCCAGUCGCCUUCCUCCCUCCACUUUUCUUGAGGCAACUAGGCAAAAGGGCUGGCCUUGGACCUUUCAAACACUCAAGGCUGUGACCCCAAAUUUGAAAAAAAACAGGUGAGUAUAAGCUUCUGGGGUUCUUUGGGGACCAUUUUCUAAAGCACAGUGAGAGUGGGGGAGGAGGGAAGAGUAGUGGGACAAAGUGGGUGUGGUUGUUGGUCCAUGGGAUAAAGAAACAUAAGAAGACAGAGGAAAGAGAGAGAGAAAGAGUAAGAGUGAGAGUACUCCAUGAGAACAACCUAGCCACUACCUCUACAGUUAAAUUUUCUUAAUUUACCAUCAAACAUUAGACCUGGCAUGUUAAGUAUUUUAUAUGUAGUGAAAUGGAUAGAACACUGACCUUGGACUCAGAAGGACUUGAAUCAAAAAAUCCUGCCUCUUGACACUUAAUAGAUACAUGUUCUGGGCAAGUCAUUUAAGACCUCUUAGCCUCAGUUUCCUUAUUAGUAAAAAGGAAAUAAUAACUCAGAUCUCCCAGAGUAAAAGUAAUUAUAAGAAUCUUGACUGAAAUAAUAUAUUCAAAGGGCUUGGGCUUUGUAAAUCUUAAAGCACUAUAUUAUUAUUAUUGUGGCUUCCAAGGACCUUAAGUUUUCACUAAUAAUGGGAAUCAAUAUAUUAGGAUUGAUGAAAUGCCUAAAGAAUUACUGACUCUAUUGUUAAGUGGCAGGCAGAUAUGCAAGAUUUCCUCAAUAAAGAGAAUGGGGAAUUUGGCCUUGAUGGAAAAAUGGAUUGUGGUAGGAGAUUCUAAAUAUGUUCUAUACUCUGAGGGCACCAUCCCUAAAAAGAUCCUUAGGAUAAACCUUCGCAACAGUUUUCAGGAUUUGAUCUCUGCCUCACCCCACCCCAACUAUUUCCUGGUCAAAAAUUAACCUAAAAUGAGGUGGAUGAUAGAACCUAGAGAACAGGACUUGAGGCCAAAGAAUCAGCCUUUGUUUUUUAUGAGUUCUUCCCUUAAUUCUAUCCCUCUCUCUAACUCAAACUGAAAAAAAGAUAUAAAGCUUAUCAAGGAAUUGGCAAAGCCAAAACAGAUUGGAGUACCUAAACUACUUGUACACUGGAACCAUAAUUCCAUUAAUUGUGGUUAUGUUUGUGAAUGGGGAAACAAAGACUUUGUUUCAGUAGGGGACCCUAGAGCAUCUGAGAAGGCUAAUUCUUACAGAGACAGAUGUGUACUUUUAUAAUAAGGAAUGGGGUCCUCCACAUAUUCCAGAUAUAAUAGAUAUGGGAUUUAAGUCCCUGGGAAUUGCUGAAUAAGAGGUUUUAGAACCAGACAGGGAUGAUGAGAGGUACCCUCUGGUGCUCUAAUAAUAGAACUGAAACACAGAAAACCUCCAAAAUAAUUUGUAACAAUGAUGGUGAAAUCCUUCCCUUCCACAUUGUAACUCCUUACUUUCCCCAAUCACCCCUACCCUAGAUUAUGACCAUCUGACAGACUUCUGAUUAGGAAUUAUAUUUAGAGAUAAAAGGAAACUUUGAGGCUGUGAAGUCCAACCCCUUAAUUUUACAGAUGAGAAAACUGAGGGACAGAGAAAUUAGGUGAUUUGCAAAGGGAUCACAUAGCUAGUACAGCAUCUGAGGUAGGACUUGCAAUCAGGCCUUUCUCACUCACUCAAGCCCAGUGCCUUAUUCACUACAUAAUAUUUCUGGGUUUUACCUUUUUUUUUCCUUUUCUGGCCCCUUCUUUGAAAUGGGAUGAGAUAGGAGUGAAAAGGACCAAAAGCAAAAAAAGAAGAAGAAAUAUCAAGAAUCCUGGGUACUUAAAAAACUAGAUGAUUUUUCCUAAGGAAAAUUAAGCAUUGAUUAUUCAGAAAGUUUUAGAGUAAAUUUUUGUACUCUUAUCUGUCUCUUUUCUGCUAAACAGGGCCUCAGCAAGAUAGGUGGAAGAGAAGGUCAGAGAACAACAUAGGGGAUAGGGAAAGUUGUGUCAGUGUUAAGACAGGAUCUCUGCAUCGGGUCAGAACAUGCCCCAGGAAGAAAGUAUUUCAAAUAACAAGGUAGAAUUGCCCAGACUCAUUGCUAUCUGCACAUUGGUGCUAAGACCAUCCUUUUAUGGGAUUUAACAUAGAGCCAAGAACAUGCCUGAACAGAGUAGAGGGAGAGGCAAGAAUAGACUUAGCCAUAGAUUGAAUGGUGGGUGAUUUCUUUUAAAGAAAGAAGUUUAAGUGUUCCCAGGAAGUUGGAUCUUUAUCCUCUAGCCCAAGGAAGAUCACUGAAGCUUACAGAGGGAAGAAAAUCCCAUAUCAUUUAUCCUCUCUUUGUUCCCAUUAGCCAAUCCUUACCCAAUCAAAAUGAAUUAUAGUUAAGAAAAUCACAGAUGCAGUUUAGUGAGAGGUGGGAAAAGAUGGUUUCAAGGGAGGAGAAUAGGUGGGGCAGGGGUAUUCACCCAAUUUGGUGCUAGCUAACCCUGAAAUCAUAGGACCAGGAGUUUCUACCCUUUUUUUAGCCUAUCAGGAAUGGGAGUGAGGGCAUAACUGUUUCAGCAAUCCCUGGACUAUUAGGAAUUCUUUCACUGCCCUUCUAUUCAUUUCAGAAAAGGCCAGAGCCCUCCAAAUACUGCUCUUUCCUCCCCUUCUUUUGUUUGGUCCAUUUUGGAGGGAAAAGAUAAUAGUCCCCACACCCCCAACUCCCCAGCCCCCAGCUCCCUCUCUUCCCCCUCUCCCCCCUCCCUCCCAUUCCAACCGUACCUCUCUCUUCCUAUUUAGUAAUGGUAUCCUGAAGUUUUCUAGAACAAUUUUAGGAUAUCUGCCUCCCCUGCCAAGGCUAACCAUGAACAUAAUAAGAUUAUGAGACACAAAGAGAAAGAAAAAGAGGGUACAGAUGUACUUAUAUCUUCAUCCAGGUCAAUAUUAAGAAUCUUCUGUUCUGGUAAAGUUGAAACCAAGAGAGAUUGAUCAGAAUUUUCUCUUGCUUUCUGUGACCUGGGGUAAUGCCAAAAUAGAAUAGUUAACCAUCCGAAGGCUUUCCCAUGAAGAGCACCCAGAGGAGGUGAGGGGUAGGAUCCUUAACACAGCCCAGCUAUGUGACCUUUGAUAGCCCUCUGGUCAGUGCUGACCCUGUAUGUGUAUAGUGAGGUUGGCAUUUGGCUAUAAAUGCUUUGAAGAUGAGAGCUCAGGAUGAUCCAUGAAUUUCUCUUGUCCUUCAUUCCACCGGAGUCUGUCUCAUAUCUAAUCAGAUUUCAGUGGAGUGAAGCAUAAGAGGCAUGGAGUUGACUCAGCAUCAGCGGCCACCUCAAGAUUAGCUCUGACACAGGAGGAGAAACAUGGAACAUCUGGAACUAAAAUCAGCCUGCAUAGGAGGACUGGGACAAGGGGAGGCAAAAUACACAGGCUGGACCAAACACCAUGAAUGGAAAUAGCUCCCUGAUCCCUACCCUUUUUAAAGAUUAACACUUUGGGACUGUGUAUUUGUCUACAACCAAGAAAUAAUUAAAAGUUUGCCCAAGACUGGCUAUACUAUGCAUUGUUA